rnacentral:misc_RNA from 1 species
UAAAAGAUUUAACUAAAAUUAAAAACUUACAAAAAUUUGAAAAUUUUUUGACCACUUUGCCUUAAAGAAAAAUUAGCAAUAAUCUAAAAUUAGUUUUUUCUCCUAAUUUAAGAAUCAUACAAAAUUAGGAAAUUAUACAGAAAACUUAGUGUGUAUCAUAAUAAAAAUCUCACCUUCCAUAAUUAGUUAAUGGGUGGUGGGUGUAUAUUAUAAUAUCCCACAAAAUUUUAAAUUUUUUCUUAUUGUAACUAUGGGUGUUAAAAGACUGUCCAAACUGUAUAAUCCAAUCCAAGCCAUGUCAAUCUGCACCUAACUCAAAAUUUUAUAGCUGUUCAUGGAUUAGGUUUUAUAUAUAUAUAUAUUAUCAUUUGCAAAUAGGGUAAUUACAUGCAACCCAGAACUACGAUGACAACAGG